GAGACUAUCGACAUUUGAUACACUAUUUAUCAAUGGAUGUCUC
rnacentral:misc_RNA from 1 species